UAUUUAUAUGAGAGUUUGAUCCUGGCUCAGGAUGAACGCUGGCGGCGUGCCUAAUACAUGCAAGUCGAACGAGUUUUGGUCGAUGAACGGUGCUUGCACUGUGAUUCGACUUAAAACGAGUGGCGGAC
rnacentral:rRNA from 1 species